AUCCAGAUGGAAAAUCAAUAAGGAAACACUGGACUUGAACUAUACUUUAGACCUAGUGAAUGCAUACAGAUAAUCUCAUCCAAUAGCAGCAGAAUACACAUUCAUUAAUGUAAUAGGUCCCCAAAGGAAAAAAAAAACAUAAAAUCUAAGAGGAUUGAAAUCAUACAUAUCUUUUCUAACUGCAAUUGUAUCAAACUAGAAAUUGCCAACAGGAGGAAAACUAGAAAAUUCAUGAAUAUGUGGAGAUUAAACAACACACUUCUACACAAAAAGUGGGUCAAUGAAGAAAUGAAAGGGUAAAUAGAAAAUAUCUUGCAACAAAUGGAAACUUAGAGGACAAAGCAAAAGCAGUUCCAAGAGGAAAGUUUAUAGCAGUAAAUGCCUACAUUGAGAAAAAAGAAAGAUCUCAAAUAAACAACCUAACAUUACACCUCAAGUAAUUAGAAAAAGGACAGACUAAGCCCAAAGUUAGCAGAAGGAAGGAAAUUACAAAGAUCAGAAUAGAAAUAGAGAACAAGAGAACAAUAGAAAAGAUCAAUGAAAAUAUGAGCUGAUUUUUAAAGCAAUAAAAUUUACAAAUCUUUAGCAAGAUUAAAAAAGAGAAGAAAUCAGAAUGAAAAAGGAGACAUUACAACUGAUACUACAUAAAUGCAUAGAAUCAUAAGAAACUACUAGAUAUAAUUAUAUGCCAGCAAAUUGGACACCCUAGAAAAAAAUGGAUAAAUUUUUAGAAACAUAACAACUUACCAAGGCUGAAUCAUGAAAGAAAUAGAAGAUUUCAGCUGACCAAUAAAGAAUAAGGAAACGGAAUUCUUCAGUGGAUGAAUGAAUGGAUAAGGAAUGUAUAUAUAUAUAUCCAUUCAUCUGUUGACAGGCCAGUUGGCUGUUUCCAUAUAUUCACUGUUGUGAAUAAUGCUGCAGUGAACGUGGGAGUUUGAAUAUCUCUUUGAGACCCUUAUUACAUUUUUUAUAAAUAUAACCAGAAGUGAGAUUGCUGUUUCAUAAAAUAGUUAUAUUUUUAAUUAUAAUAUGUAUGUAUUUAUAUGUGUGUGUGUAUAUAUAAUGUAUAUAUUAUAUACACACAUAGGCAUAUCUCACUUUAUUAUGCUUUAUUUUACUGGUUUUGCAGAUUCUUCAUUUGUUACAAAUUAAGAUUUUUGGCAACCCUCCAUAGAGCAACUCUGUUGGCACCAUUUUUCCAAAGGCAUUAUUUUUAAUUUAUGUACAUUUUUUGAAGAAAUAAUGCUAAUAUAUCCUUAAUAGAUUACAAUAUAGUGUAAGCAUAACUUUUAUAUGCAUUGAGAAACCAAAAAACUUAUUUAACUGGCUUUUUUGCCAUAGUCGCUUCAUUACAGUGGUCUGGAGCUGAACCCACAUUGUCUUUGAUCUUUGCUUGUUCACACACACUCACACCCACACACACCCACACACACACUGGAAUAUUAUUCAGCCAUGAGAAAGAAGGAAAUCUUGUCAUUUGUGCAACAUGCAUGGAUCUUGAGGGCUGUGGUAAUCAUUUUGCAAUAAUAAGUAUAUCAAAUCGUCACAUUGUACACCUUAAACUUACAUAAUGUGAUAUGCCAAUUAUACCUCAAUAAAGGUAGAAAAAGACAAAACCGAAAUAAAUUACCACAAGAAAACCAUGGCAUGAGUGACAUAAGCACAUACAACCUACUGAGUUAUUAUGAAGAAGAAACAGUAUUCAUUUUGUCAGGAAAAGUUGCCAUUCAUGGGAGGCAUCAGAGAAGGGAUGACAUUUGGGUCGCAUUUGAAGGAUGAACUCGUGUUCAAAGAAAGAUGAAACUGUCUGUCCCAGCAUUAAUUUGAUAGCGCAAGAUGGUGGCUUUAGGAGAUUAAAUAGGGAAUAUAAUUAGAUUCUCAAUAAGAAAGGGCCUUUUACACCAUACUAUAGAGUUUGUAUUUUAUUCUGCAGGAAAGUUUGAUUUGGAGUUUAGAAAGAUCACUCUGGUAACCAUGUGUAGAAUGGAUUCCAAGGAGAGAAAAUAGUUAUUUCACAAAUUCAGGUAGGAUAUGAAGAAGAAUUAAACACAAAAAGUAGAAUCAGGGACAGAAAAUGAUUAAUAAAGAUAUUUCAGAAGUAAAAUUAAUAUUUAGUGAUUGAUUAUGGGGCAUAAAGGAGAAGUGUAGUCUAAGGUACCACUAGCUUUUUGUCUUGAAGAAAUGGGUAACUAGUUGUAAUCAAGUGAUGUAAGGACUGGAUUUGGAUAGAAAGAAAUAAUUUAUAACUGUAUUGAUGGGGGUUUAGAAUGCAGUGGUGAUUUCCCAGACAUGCAGAUGAACAGAGAAAAGGAGAUGCAUGAGGGGGAUGCAUGAAUUUUCACUCUAAUAUUAGCAGAAACUGGAGCCACGUUAUUGACAAGGGGGAGAUGAGUCAAUAGGAGAGCAAAAGUUGAAUAUACCAUGGAGGGGUAAAAUAAGAAAGGAAAAGCAUAGCAUCCAGUGCCAGGCAGAGGGAUGAGCCUGGACAAAAGGUACCUCCUUCUUAGAAAUGGCUGUAGAUAAGAGAGGCAGCAUGCGUGAGAAGACUGGAGGUGAGGGGGUGGGUGGAGGCAGGUCACCAUGUUUGGGAGGAGUUGGAAGCUUGAUGGCCUCAGUUUUGGAGUAUGAAAAUGUCCCUUGGUGAGAUGGAGCUUGAGUAACAGGGGUAAGAAUUGAGGAGGGUAUUGUGUGUAGGAUAAUUACUAAAGGAAAUGGGUUAGGAGGUUACUAAACACAAAUGAAAGGACAUUGCUAUCACUGAAAGAGUUCAAUAAUGCUUAUAGUUUUGCAGAUUCCUCCAAAAAGUCUGGGUUGCACUUGGUAUUACUACUUAAUAAAAACCAACAUUUUUGAUUUUUUAUUUUGUACCCAGCACUGUUAAAUCUUUCAUCUUCACAACAAAUUUGUGAGUUAAUUAUUGUUAUUAUUCUCAUUUUAACACAAGAGGAAACUGAGCCGUUGAGGAGUCUAAAACUGGAAAAGACAGAUCAUCAGUAUAAUGAAGGAGAGACUUAAGAUAAGUUUCUUUCUUUUUUAAAAAAUACCCCUAGGUAAUCGGUCUAGAAUUAAUAUGACACUGCAUGUUUUCAGGGACAUGGGCCCUUCUUUGAAAUUGCUGUGCCAUUUCUAAACCUACCUCAUGAUACAGUGUGCCUACUGGUGCUCCAGUAUAAUUCAGACACUGAGAAAAAUAAGGAGGACAAGAAUGGCAUGACUCUUCCUUUUCAGUUAGUGAAGAAAUUACACACACCUUUUGCAUACGCUCUUAGAAAUCACUUGUGUGGCUACGUUCUGCUCCAAAGAAGGCCAUGAUAUAUUUUUAUUUAGAAUAAAUAAAAUUUGAAAUAGGGGAAUGGCAAAUAGUGGGGAAAUCUCUUACUUUGUUUGAUCUACAUUUGGACAAUUUCAGAUUAUUUUGGAUGAAAAGAGAAAAGAGCAAAGAAUUGAGGGUGCUAACAAAGAGUAGAGUUAAAUGAUGAAUUACAACAAAGGAAAGAGCUGAAACCAAGAGCUGGCUGAUGGAUGGAAGGAAAAGAUGGGUGGAACUGCCUGAAUAACUUGAAGUCAAAGAGGAGGCACUGACUUUACUGAGUGAGAGAAUUUCAUGGAUGGUUGCUUAAGAUGGAGACUGUGUAAGAAUCUUGAAUGAGCGUUGAAGAUUUCAGAAUUGAAAAAAAAAAAAAAAAAAAGUGAAG
rnacentral:lncRNA from 1 species